CGGCAACAGCUCAAAUUUGAAAUCUGGCCUCUCGGGGUCCGAGUUGUAAUUUGUAGAGGAUGUUUUGGGUACCGCCCCGGUCUAAAUUUCUUGGAACAGAAUGUCAAAGAGGGU
rnacentral:rRNA from 1 species